GCAGAUGAGCCAGCAGUCACCCGGAGAUGGAACUGUUGUGACCAAAGCUGGGGAUGGGGCUCUCCCAGACAGACUCAGUCUGCGCCGGGGAACGAGGGCCUGGCCCAACAGGAGGAACCUGCAGGACUUAUCCAGCCCCAAAUGUCACCAACAGCAGGCUGAGACACUCCAGUGUGGAGGCUGUAAGCCUCCAUUUCUCAUCUCAGGAACCACCCUGGAGGGAAAAGGAACACCAGCCCUUCCAGCAGGGGGAAGCCACUCAGCAAGCAAGCUCUAUGUGCAGAGGGCCCAAAGCGCGCAGAGAGAGGACAGCGCAAGACGGAGGGAGACAGUGGGCUUGCCCGCCCGCCCGUCCCUCUGCAGCCUAGAGAAGAUGUUUGCUUAACAUUGCAUUGGACCCAAAAAACUGUUUCGCACGUCUCACAUUUAAGAGAGAUGAUAAAAUGCAGCUUUCCCAAU
rnacentral:lncRNA from 1 species